rnacentral:rRNA from 1 species
CAGCCGCCGCGGGAAUACAGAGGAUGCAAGCGUUAUCCGGAAUGAUUGGGCGUAAAGCGCGCGCAGGCGGAUAGGUCAGUCUGUCUUAAAAGUUCGGGGCUUAACCCCGUGAUGGGAUGGAAACUGCUGAUCUAGAGUAUCGGAGAGGAAAGUGGAAUUCCUAGUGUAGCGGUGAAAUGCGUAGAUAUUAGGAAGAACACCAGUGGCGAAGGCGACUUUCUGGACGAAAACUGACGCUGAGGCGCGAAAGCCAGGGGAGCGAACGGGAUUAGAUACCCGCGUAGUCCCUGUCUCUUAUACA